UCAGGGGACUAGCAUAGGCUGGGAAGCUUCCAGAGCAUCAGAAAGAGGGGGCGUGGCCAGCAUAUCAUUUUGAAAAAACAGCAUUUUACGUUUCUAUGUUCAUUUGCUCUACCUUUCACACAUAAAAAUGUAUGGAUAUGCUGUUUUUACAUUAGAAACCAGUGGAGUUGAAAUGGAGCUGUGGAACAAAAUGGCAGAAGGGCAGAUGGGAAGAAAAAGAAAGCACCCUGUAAGGUGCUGGAAGGAUACUGAAGCAGUUGGAGAUAUUGGCUGGAAUUUGGGAGCAAAAUCACACUCUAGUUACAGAUUUGUGAGCCUUCCAAAUCAACAGAUGCAGGACCCUGGGACUGAAUGACAUCGCCAAGCAUGAGACUGCAGGACAAAGGUCACAGCUCAGAUGCCUGCAGCGGCCAGGCAGGAUGAGCUAAACCAGAAAAACCAAGAUAUCCUAAGAGCAUCAGACAAAGUCUUUGCUCAAAAGAAUCUUCAAGACCAGCUGUUGUCCUGCUGCUAAACAUCAGUUCAGCUUGUACGAUCUCCCUGGUAACCAACUACAAUAAGGUAUCACCCCGUCAGCCUGAAAGUUUUGUUGUAUAGUUCAAACACAUUUUAGGAGCGCUCAGCGUGGCAUUCGUCAUUCAGUUCUUACAGGCCUUGUCUUUUGUCCUCUGUUCUCCUUGUCCACACACCUGAUGCCUGUCCAUUUACAUUCUGCUGGAAUCCUCCAAACUGAACAUAAUGAAGUUGAGGGAAACCUAGAAAAACCCGAGUCCAAUGCAGUUGGUCUUAAUAAUCAAAAGAAUCUGGAAAGAGCAAUGUCAGAACUUUGUAUAAUUCAAUCAGGAGACGGUAAGGGAG